CAGUGCUGGAGAAGGAGCCAAGAAUUCUACACCUUGAUUCAAAGGCAACAAGAAGUGAACUGAGACUGGGGUGUGGCUUGAGCAUAUAUGAGACAUAGGAGCUCACCUCCACAGUGGCAUACUUCCUCUAACAAGGCCACACUGAUUCCAACAAAAUCAUACCUCCUAAUAGUGCCACUCCCUGUGAGCUUGUGAGGGUCAAUUGCAUUCAAACCACCACAACACCCAAAUCCAAACUGCUGCUUGCACUCUUCAUGCUGCUGUCUAGUUACUGUCAUUACUAGAGGAGACACGUUUUAUAGAUACAGGUUUGGGGAAGGCCAGGAAACUUGGCUGAAGCAUGAAGAGCCGAAAGUAAGCAGUUACUUCUACAGAAUAUGGGAUCUUGGCUCCCCAGGCUCUGAGUCUCAAAUGCUUCCAGUGAAUCUGUGAUAAUCAUACGUCAUGUUCUAUUUUAGAAGCCUGGGAUAGAUCAGCAACCAAAAUGGUAAAGUCCUUGCCCUCUGGAAUUUACAUUCUUGUGGGAUGAGACAAACAUGAAACAAGUCAUGAAAUAUAAAAUUUGGCAAGUGGUGAUGCAUGAUAUGGAAAAUUAAAGCAAUAAGAAAGUGUGUGUGUGUGUGUGUGAGAGAGAGAGAGACAGAGAGAGAGAGAGACAGAGAGACAGAGAGAGAGAGACAGAGAGAGAGAGAGAGAGAGAGAGAGAGAGAGAGAGAGAGAGAGAGUGACUUCUGUUGCUCAGGAAAGGCCAUCAGAUAAAGUCACAUCUGAGAUGGGACCUGAAAGAAGCAAAGGAGCAAUAUUUACAGAUGUCUGAGGUGAUGCCUUCUGAACAGAGAAAACCACAAAUGUUAAGAUUCCAGCCCACAAGCCUUCUCGUGUGGACACCAAGCCUGGCUGAGCUGAAUCUCCACAUAAGGCUGCCGCUCUCUGUCGACAACACCAUAAUGAGACAGCCGCUUCUCCCUGUUGCUACCCGAGGCUGGGUGCCGCCAUCUGAGGAGCAUACUGCAGGGCUCACCACCUCUCCAGAGACAACUCCGCCUGUGUGCUCAGUGUUUGAGAGGAAGUACAAGACACCAGAGGGUGCUUGUUCAGGUAUACAUUUCAGGUGAAAUUUUUGAGUCCCAGGUGAGGCUAUAGCCUUGAACAUGGGAUUCUUCUGGGAGUAAUUUAUCAUUUAAUGCACAGAGACUGGAAAUGAAAGUGCCCUGCACUUACAUAUUGUAAAGGCCAAACACAUUCUCUUUUUAGUCUUAAAAUUUU
rnacentral:lncRNA from 1 species